ACGUCCGUGUGCCCCGAUCCAUCCAUCAGUCGGUGCAACCCAGCCCAGCCCCGCACCGCAGCCCCUUCUUCCCCACGCACGAACGACCCCAACUCCUGGAGCGCUCUGGACCGCCCAGAAUUCCAGAUCACGCAUCUCCCUCUCUCUCUCUCACCGCGUCCUCCUCGCUCGCCGCCCCCUGCCGCCUCCUGCACUGCGGCGGCGCGAGCGUCGUGGAGUAGAGAGAUCCCUCCGCCCCGACAUGAACAAGUGAUCCCUUCGUCUUCGUCGUCGUCCCUCGCCGCGCGUACAGGAGGAGGAGGAAUCGAAGGAGCCGCCGUCGUCUUCGUCUUCGUCGUCGUCGUCGUCGUCCCGCUGGCGGCGGCGAGCUGAGAGUCAGGAGGAGGACGCGGAAUGUCGUCGUCCAACUCGCCUUGCGCCGCGUGCAAGCUGCUGCGGCGCAAGUGCACGCAGGGGUGCGUCUUCGCGCCCUACUUCCCGCCCGACAACCCGGCCAAGUUCUCCAGCGUGCACCGCAUCUUCGGCGCCAGCAACGUCUCCAAGCUCCUCAACGAGCUCCCCCAGGCGCAGCGGGAGGACGCCGUCAACUCGCUCGCGUACGAGGCCGAGGCGCGCCUCCGUGACCCCGUCUACGGCUGCGUCUCCUACAUCUCCGUCCUGCAGCUCAGGAUCAAGCAGGUCCGCGAGGAGCUCGCCGCCGCGCGCAAGGAGCUGGCGGGGUACAUUGGGCCCGCGGCCUUCACGCCGUUCGUCGCCACGCCGCAGUACCACCACCACCAGUACGCCGCGGGCGGCGUGCCCCUCGCGGCCGCCGCCGGCAUGGGGCUCGCCGUCGGCGUCGGCCCGCAGCACGGUCACCACCCGCACCACCAGCAGCAGAUCAUGGUGCAUCAGCACCAGCACCAGCACCUCCACCACCAGCAGAUGGCGGCUGCCGAGGCGCAGCAGCAGCUCGCGGCGGCAGUGGAGGUCGCGCGAGAGCAGGAUCUCAUGAUGCGGCAGGCCGCGGUCUACGCGCACGCCGUGCCCGGGAGCAGCGGUGGCGGCGGCGGCGGCGGCGGCGCCACGGUGGCCGUUGUGCCGCCCGACGCCGUGCCGUACGAGGGCGGCUUCCUCUUCCAGCAGCAGCCGCCGCCGUCGCAGGCGCAGACGGCCGUGGCGCUCACGUACCAGAUGGAGCAGUCCCCGCCGCCGUCGUCCUCGGGCCAGUCUCACCCCGAGGUGUCGCAGCAGCAGAACACGGAUGGCAGCGACGAGGGCAGCGGCGGUGUCGUGCCGCCGGCCUGAUCUGCUGAUCUGAUUCGUUCUUCCUCUAGCGCCUUUUGCUUUCUUGUUUGGUGUUCGUUCCUGUUCGUUAUGAAUUUUUUCCCGUUCGGUCGUCUUCAUCAUAUGGCGUCGCGUCGGCAUCGUCGAUCUAGCUAGGAUCCAUGCACGCCUCCCGAAGGCAGGCUAUAGCUGGAUUCUUAAUUACCAAGGUUCCUCAUGAUCAGUUGCCUUUCUUCCUCAAGAGUUAGAGCCAAAUAAAUGCAAGACAGAAGGAGUGGUAGGAAAUGGGGACAGAUACUCAUCAUAUGGAUCAGUGUAACACAGAGAAAUUAAUGGUGGGAAGGUGGAGAGAUGGGGGUAGUAGAGGUAGACAGAAACAGCAGAGAGAAGCAUGCAUGGCAGCGCAGGAGGGGAGCAGCAAAUGGUGAAGUAAGAUAGAGAAACAAAAUGCAUGCAAAUAGCUUAUUGCACUUUGCAGGAGGGAGCAGCAGGCAUGAUGAAUAAAGAAAUUAACACGAACAAGAGGAGCACUCAGCUAAACAUAUAUCUAGCUUCGUUCACUUGUGCAUUUAUUUAGUGUUGAACAUGUGUAUCUUCUUUCUUCACCGCUCUUAUGAGUAUUCUUUUCAACCUUUCCCUCUUUUUCUGGUUUCUCAUUGGUAAAUUCUUUCUGCCGUAUUGCAUUGUGUGUAUAAAGAAAUAGAAUAUCCUUUAUUUGGACAUAAAUGGAUGAUGGAGGCAUGGAGCUACUAGCUAGCAUCAUUUUAA